AGCCAGGUUGACUUUUGUCGGCCGCCGGCUUCUUAGAGGGACUUUUGGCUCAAGCCAAUGGAAGUACGAGGCAAUAACAGGUUAACCUUGAGUUACAACUCAUCACAGGCCUGUAACAGUGAACCUCGUUAAAAAAAAUCACUAGUUGAGUACCUUCAUCUCUCUAGGUGGAAGUCCACCGAACUGUCGGGUAGAGAGAACUCCUUCGGGGGUGUGGUGCCAGCGAGACAACCUGGUUCAGGAGACGCU
rnacentral:rRNA from 1 species